rnacentral:sRNA from 1 species
UUGAGAAAUCGGGAAAUCGGGAAAUCGAGAAAUCGAGAAAUUGAAAAAGCGAGAAAGCAAAAACGCGAAAUCGAGAAAUUCAUUUCGCGUUUUCGCUUUCGUGUAUUUGCUUUCUCGAUUCCUCGAUUUUCCGAUUUCUCGUUUUCCCUAUUUCUCGAUUUCCCUUU